CUUUGAAGUCCGUUGCAUUUGUGAUUUUUCUUUGAUCAUUGCUGUGGAAAUGACUGAGAUGUUUUUCUCCUAGGUUUGUGUGCACACGGGUGUAAGAGGACCGAGAACUUCAGUAAAGGUGAAACAUCUGACCUUAUCUUGACUUGGUUAGGAUGAAAGUAACACUAAAUAGGACCAAAUUAUGUUCUAACUACCUUGAGAGACUAAUGAGGAGGGAGUACUAUUAUUUUUCUACUUCUAUCAAUGCGUUCAAUACAGUAUGAGAUGGCUGGAAGAGCUCAGUGAAGUGCAGGGAUCUAAACAUGCCAGGGAGUACCUUAGGUACUGCUUCUGUCACUGGGUUUCCAGUGGUGGCACGUGAUACCUAAUAGCUCAAAAGGAUAAAAGGUCCCUGGAAAAGAAGACAAAGAACCCAUUCUUUUCCCACCGUCUCUGAGCAGAAAGGUCACAAAAAAGGGAAAACUUGUGUUUUCCAGGGAAGGCCCAGCCACACCACAUCCCCCAGUUCCCAGAGCAUCCCAGAAGUGCUCUGUGCCCUGAGCCAGGAGGGAGAAUCGACUCCCUGCUGAUAAAAAUUGACCUAAGGAGAUCUCUGAGCCAUCACAUACAGCUCUUGCAAUAGCAAUUCAAAGCUGAGGGGUGACCAGCCAGGGCACCGAUGCGAGGAAUGACGCGGAAAGUCCUGAAGAAUAAAGUAAUGGCAUUUCUUAUUUUUAUUAGAUCAAUCUGGGGCGUACGAGCUCUCAAACCCAGCUUAGGAUCAUCUUCUCUGAAAAGGACUGAGAGGGAACAGGAAAGGCUGGAGCUCAGGAAAACGAGGCAGGUCUGGAAGAAAGAAAGAAAUGGUCCAUACGAGUGGCAUGACAUUUUUGCCCUGUAAAGACUUGAAGGAGUGAAGCUGAAGAGAUGAAUCCCUGUUUUUCCCUACUGACAUCUUAAUAUCUCAUCCCAGUGCAUGGGCAGAGCAGGUGAGGUGGGUGCUUGUGCCCAGGACUGGGGUCAGCAGCCUAGGUGGGUGCUUGUGCCCAGGACUGGGGUCAAUAGCCUUUAGAUGGCCAUGUAGAUGGCCAUGGCCUCCUGGGCGCAUGUGGCCAUUGGCCCAUCUGACCCACUCUGGUUCAGGCUGGAGGAAAGGCCCCAGAAGCAGCGAUUAUGGGAAUAAAAGGAAAUUUAUACAAGCCA
rnacentral:lncRNA from 1 species